UGACAGGGGCUUGCUCCUGAAUCCAGCGGCGGACGGGUGAGUAAUGCCUAGGAAUCUGCCUGGUAGUGGGGGACAACGUUUCGAAAGGAACGCUAAUACCGCAUACGUCCUACGGGAGAAAGCAGGGGACCUUCGGGCCUUGCGCUAUCAGAUGAGCCUAGGUCGGAUUAGCUAGUUGGUGAGGUAAUGGCUCACCAAGGCGACGAUCCGUAACUGGUCUGAGAGGAUGAUCAGUCACACUGGAACUGAGACACGGUCCAGACUCC
rnacentral:rRNA from 1 species